UGCUGACUCAAGAGUUCACCUCCCCACCCCACCCCCUGCAUGACAGACAGCAUCAGCCAUUUAAUCCUAUUAAUCUCAAGGCGGGGGGCCUAAGAAAGUCGGUUGCAGAAGGGUUAUAUACCAUCAUCUAUACCAUCAACUCAAAUGUUUUCUGUGGGAGACUCUUUGUACAACCCAGAGGAGAUAAGGAAGCCGAAGAAGACUUUGUAGAGAGAUGUGGACAUGGCUCAAUAGAGAUCGUGAAAAAAUUGUAAACAACAGCUGCAACUUGCUGGGAGAUUCCCGAGGUGGAAGAACUCGUCAUCACUGCUGUCUGUUCUUAUCUCAGAGGAAGCCCAAGAUGGGCUGUGCAGGAAACAGAGCCUAUGUUCAAGAUGAGGAACCGAGGCUUGUUGAAAUAAGGACUGUAGUUCAGGUCAAUAAGAGAGCCUAGAAGUCAAAGAAACCUCUAGGUGAGAACAGGAUGGGCAUAGUUGAGUCAAGCUCUCUUUGCACCUGUCACUGGGAGCCACCUUUCUGUCCAGGAGCUCAAGAGGACACCAGCCACCCAGUGACCUUUUCCGCCUCUGAUGCCUCAACUCGCAAACAGGUUGUGAAACAACCUGGGCAGUGACUCAGCCCGCGCCUGCUCCGCUGGUCUGUGCAGGUAGGCCGGGCUGUUUGGUUGAGCCUUGAAAGGACAUCGUGUCUGACAAACAUGUUGCUUGUCAAAGCCCUGACGGGGGUGCCAAGCACAAAUUGUGAACUCUGCUCCUUGAGGCGUCACAGAUGACUAAACUGGGGUGCCUAAGUUGCAUACAUCUCCUCGUUGUUAUUCUGGUCUAACAACCCUCCAGGGCCAAUGUCAGGAAGAGAGGAAUGUGUUAGAGGCCAGGGAGCUGCUAUUUCUUGAGAGGCAGCUUGGCAUGGUGGCCAGGGCCUGGGUUUGUGGCAUCCACAUCAUUCAGACCUGAGUUCAGAUUCUGCCUCUGCUGCUUACUAUCUGUGUGACUCUGGGCAAGUGGCUUACCCCUGUAACUGUGAACUUCCGUAUGCUAUAAAACAUCCACCUUGCAGAAUUGUCUUUAUGAGAUAAAAGAUGUAGAUUUCCUAAAACAUAGAAAACUCUUCAUAAAUCAUUAUUAGAAUCCUGAGCCGAAGUUUGCCCUUCCCCCUACUCCAAGUGGAAAUUGCCCCUCCUGCUAUUGUAAUGCCGUUUCCCAUGCACCCCAAAGUAGUGAACAAGCAACCAGACAGCUGUGGCAGACACAGUGCCAGGCCACUUGUACCACUGUUAUCCCAUUGAUCGCUGGAUUCAUUUCCUAUUAUAAGAAGAGAAAUAGACAUUUUUAAUCAAAGUGUGUGGUUGGCUGGAUAAUGGCCCCCAAAGAUAUCUGAGUCCUAAUCUCUGGAACCCAUCAGUGUGUUACCUUAUAUAUAAUGUGAUCACUUUGCAAAUGGGAUUAGGUUAAGGAUAACAAGAUGGGCGAUUACCCUGGAUUGUCUGGGUAGGCCCUAAAUGUGAUCACAAAUAAGAAGGAGGUAGAGGAGGUUUGACUACAGAAGAGAAGGCAAUGUAAUGAUGAAAGCAGAGAUUGGUGUAAUGGGACCUGAAGUCAAGGAAUGACAGCAGCCACCAGCAGCUGGAAGAAGCAAGAAAUGAACUCUUCCCUGGCGCCUUCAGACAGAACCAGCCCUGCUGCUACCUUUACUUCAGCCCCCUAAGACUCAUUUCAGACUGCUGGCCUCCAGAAAGUAAGAGAAUACAUUUCUGUUGUUUUAAGUCACUAAAUUUGUGGUAAUUUGUCACAACAGCAAUAGGUAACUAAUUCAAGGAGUGUGGUUAGAUUAUUGAUUAUAAAAAUUAGUACUUGUGGUAUAUCCACACAUGGAGUAUUAUUCAACAAUAAAAAGGAAUGAAGUACUGAUGCAUGCUACCACUGAACCUUGUAAACAUGCUGAGGGAAAGAAGGCAGUUGUAAAGCACCAUAGAUUGUAUGAUUCCAUUUAUAUGGAAUGUCCAAAAUAGGCAAAUCUAUAAGAACAGAAAGUAUAUCAGUGGUUGACUAGGGCUGGAGGGAUGGAAGGCUUAGGAGGUAAUCAAUAAGAAGUAUGGGGUUUCUUUUGGGGUUAAUGAAAUGUUCUAAAUUGUG